rnacentral:tRNA from 1 species
GCGGGUGUGGCGGAACUGGUAGACGCACCAGAUUUAGGUUCUGGCGCCGCGAGGCGUGGGGGUUCGAAUCCCUUCACCCGCACCA